UAGCAUUUUGAGGGCUCUUCCUAUGGGGUUCCAGAGUAGCUCCACAGCUGAAUUUAUACCACGCUACCUAAAUACAGCUGCCCCAGCUUCCCACCAACAUCCCUUGUCUAUUUUCUGUAUGGAAAGCGUUGCACUGGGGUAAGAUAGAGCAUCAUAGUUUCUAUGUGCCUCUCCCAAUGGCUAGGAUGCUGAGCAUCUCUCAUGUUUACUGGCUAUGUGUACUAAUCGCUCCAGUAUUGCAUACUUACUUCAUCAGCCCAUGUACUGAUGUGAUUGUUUCAUGUUUGGGUAUUUAGGAUUUUGUCCAAUUCUUUAUUCUAGACUUUAAUCCUCUGUAAAUUGUACAGUUAGCAAAGAUUUUGUCUUUUACUCAGUUGCUUCCUUUGCUGAUCACCUUUUCAAAUGUCAUUGAAUCCCAUUUGUCACAUCUGGAGAUGAAUUCCUCAGCUAUGGGAGGUCUUUAUCUGGAGUGCCUGUCUGCUGAUACCAUCUCUCCAUACUGUUAUAUCCAUUUCAGAGUAUCGACUCAUAUAGUAAGGACUUUGAUCCUUUUUAAUUUGUUUUUGUGCAGAGUGAAAAAUAGAACUUUAGUUAUAACUUCUGCAUCAGGAGACCUAAUUCUCUUGUUACAAUUUGUUGAAGAGGCUACUAUCUUUUCUGUAGUGGAUAUUUGGCUAUCUUUGCCAAAAGCAGGUCAGAAGCCAUGUUGGGUUAAUUCUGGGUUCUCAUUGCCAAGACUUCUUAAGUUUUUCCACUCAUGACCCAUUUACACGUAAGGAAAUUUUACAUGGGCCUGGAUCCAUGUACUAUAAAAUUGGUAUAUAAAUCCAGCAUUUAUUACUAAUAAAUCAUAACUUUAUUUUUAAAC
rnacentral:lncRNA from 1 species